GUGUGGUCUACUGUGUUUGUACUAUGUAGAAAAAAAACCCAAAAUAUUUAUCUUCCCUUGAACAAUGGAAUAAUCUAGGAGCCUGUAUUAAAAAGCAGCAC